rnacentral:rRNA from 1 species
AGAUUGAACGCUGGCGGCAUGCUUUACACAUGCAAGUCGAACGGUAACAGGCCGCAAGGUGCUGACGAGUGGCGAACGGGUGAGUAAUGCAUCGGAACGUGCCCAGUCGUGGGGGAUAACGCAGCGAAAGCUGUGCUAAUACCGCAUACGAUCUAUGGAUGAAAGCGGGGGACCGAAAGGCCUCGCGCGAUUGGAGCGGCCGAUGUCAGAUUAGCUAGUUGGUGAGGUAAUGGCUCACCAAGGCGACGAUCCGUAACUGGUCUGAGAGGAUGAUCAGUCACACUGGAACUGAGA